rnacentral:ncRNA from 1 species
GUGAGCCGUAUGAUGGGCAACUAUCUCCUGCGGUUCGGAGAGGACUAAGGAUGGCUUAUGGUCUAUUUUCUUACUUGAC